AGAGUUUGAUCCUGGCUCAGAACGAACGCUGGCGGCGUGCUUAAUACAUGCAAGUCGAACGAGAAAUUCCGACUUCGGUUGGAAGAGUAAAGUGGCGAACGGGUGAGUAACACGUGGACAAUCUACCCUUAAAUUUGGGAUAAUCCUUCGAAAGAGGGUCUAAUACCGAAUAAUAUCAUUUGAUGGCAUCAUCUUAUGAUCAAAGGCGGGGCAACCUGUCGUUUAGGGAUGAGUCCGCGUUCCAUUAGCUUGUUGGUGGGGUAACGGCCUACCAAGGCUUCGAUGGGUAGCCGGCCUGAGAGGGUGAUCGGCCACACUGGGACUGAGAUACGGCCCAGACUCCUACGGGAGGCAGCAGUAGGGAAUAUUGCGCAAUGGACGAAAGUCUGACGCAGCAACGCCGCGUGGAUGAUGAAGCAUCUUGGUGUGUAAAAUCCUGUCAGUGGGGAAGAAACGUAUUGGUAGUAACUGACCAGUGCCUGACGGUACCCACAGAGGAAGUCCCGGCUAACUCCGUGCCAGCAGCCGCGGUAAUACGGGGGGGACAAGCGUUGUUCGGAUUUACUGGGCGUAAAGGGCGCGUAGGCGGGCCCACAAGUCGGAUGUGAAAACUGGCAGCUUAACUGCCAGCCUGCAUCCGAUACUGUGGAUCUUGAGUGCAGAAGAGGAAAGCGGAAUUCCAGGUGUAGCGGUGAAAUGCGUAGAUAUCUGGAAGAACACCAGCGGUGUAGAAGGCUUUCUGGACCAUUGUUGACGCUGAGGAGCGAAAGCUAGGGGAGCAAACGGGAUUAGAUACCCCGGUAGUCCUAGCCCUAAACGAUGAAUGCUUGGUGUGGCGGGUAUCGAUCCCUGCCGUGCCGGAGCUAACGCAUUAAGCAUUCCGCCUGGGGAGUACGGUCGCAAGGCUGAAACUCAAAGGAAUUGACGGGGGCCCGCACAAGCGGUGGAGCAUGUGGUUUAAUUCGACGCAACGCGAAGAACCUUACCUGGGCUUGACAUCGUCUUGCCCGUCUAAGAAAUUAGAUUUUCUUCCUUUUGGAAGACGAGAUAACAGGUGGUGCAUGGUUGUCGUCAGCUCGUGUCGUGAGAUGUUGGGUUAAGUCCCACAACGAGCGCAACCCUUAUGCUUAGUUGCUAACUUGUUUUAGUCGGGCACUCUAGUGAGACUGCCGGUGUUAAGCCGGAGGAAGGUGGGGAUGACGUCAAGUCCUCAUGGCCUUUAUGGCCAGGGCUACUCACGUGCUACAAUGGACGGUACAGAGGGUCGCGAUCCCGCGAGGGGGAGCCAAUCCCAAAAAGCCGUUCUCAGUUCGGAUUGGAGUCUGCAAUUCGACUCCAUGAAGCAGGAAUCGCUAGUAAUCGCGGAUCAGCAUGCCGCGGUGAAUACGUUCCCGGGCCUUGUACACACCGCCCGUCACACCACGAAAGUUGGCGAUACCUGAAGUUACUAGGCUAACCCCGUAAGGGGAGGCAGGUACCGAAGGUAUGGCUAGCGAUUGGGGUGAAGUCGUAACAAGGUAACC
rnacentral:rRNA from 1 species